rnacentral:rRNA from 1 species
GUGGGGAAUAUUGGGCAAUGGGCGAAAGCCUGACCCAGCGACGCCGCGUGAGGGAAGAAGGUCUUCGGAUUGUAAACCUUUGUCAACAGGGACGAAAACAAUGACGGUACCUGUGGAGGAAGCCACGGCUAACUACGUGCCAGCAGCCGCGGUAAUACGUAGGUGGCGAGCGUUAUCCGGAUUUACUGGGUGUAAAGGGUGAGUAGGCGGGAAGUCAAGUCAGAUGUGAAAUGCCGCGGCUUAACUGCGGAACUGCAUUUGAAACUGAUUUUCUUGAGAGUCGGAGAGGCAAUCGGAAUUCCUAGUGUAGCGGUGAAAUGCGUAGAUAUUAGGAGGAACACCAGUGGCGAAGGCGGAUUGCUGGACGACAACUGACGCUGAGACACGAAAGCGUGGGGAGCAAACAGGAUUAGAAACCCUGGUAGUCC